AGGCCCUCACAACCGGUAUUUCUCUCCCAACAUUUCCCAUCAAUUUCCUGCUCUUUGUAAAUUUUUGGAAAUUGAGUAUGAAUUUUCCUUGCUCUCGAUUUUUGUUUGCAGAUUUUGAAGAAAUUUUAUAAGCAGUGUGAUCCUGGUCAGUGCUUACUGUAUCAGUCUCCUUUUCUAAAUUUUAUUCCUUGCUGAAUUACUAUUUGUGCUGCACAACUCAGCAAGCAGAAAAACGACUGAAGCAGCAUGUCAUUGCAAUUCUUGCACCACUUUUUGUAUAGAUAGAACUGCAGCAAGCAAUGUGUUUGGAGAGACUCCAUGGCCAACUUUUGAUAGACUAACACCUUUUGCAUAUAUACACCCGGAGCAACUAGAACAACUAUUUUUUGGAAAAUGCUCCAGCAGCAGCUGUAACCAAGUUUACAUUAAACUAAGAUAGCCUAUUUGUUGGCAGCUGCUAUCUAUAUUCAUCUUUUGUUUUAGAUGAUAUGGAGAAAUGAUAUUGUACUAUUUUGUCGUUUACAUUCUCUGUCCUUUUCAGUUUAGUUCUAUACUAACAAUUGAAGGUGAUGAACAAGAGGAAGUAGGAAAAGGCACUAUGGAGUAAAGGGAAGCCUUCAGUUCAGAGACAAAACUCAAACUCUUCCCUAAUUUGGUCUCUAAAAUUGGUUUGGGCAAGAGCUAAUUUGGUUCCUAAAUUAGGUGAGAGUUUUAAGAGAGAGAUCGAGAUUGAUUGUCUUAGGGAUAAGGUUUGGAUUCAUAUUCUGUUAUUGGAUUUGAAAACGCUUUUGAUUUACGCGAGGGUCUUAUCUUCUGCGAAUUUGAUAAGGAAAUGGUGAGCUCUUCUGGAUCCAGUGACGCCAAUAUGUUCGAUCCGGUUCUCCAGAAAGAGUUCCCCGAGAAUGAUCAGUCGGAAGCUCGCUUUUUUUUUGGUUGACGAGAUUGAUUGGGAUAGGGUUAGGUUUUGGAAUUCAAUUCUGUUUUUGCGUUUGAACGAUUUUCAUUAUAUGCAAGGUUUCCAUCUUCCGCCAACUUAACCCAAUCGGAAUCAAAGUCCUUCUCUUUCCGACUCUCCUCUACUCUCCACCCAAUCCGGCCAAUCCAAUCGUAGAGGUAUGCCCUGCAAUUCAAUGCUUUGCAGUACCUUGAAUUUAAUCUUUGAUUCUAAAGAUGGUUACCGACUCAAAAGAGCCAUCCAUUUUUGCACUGGUUAAUUCACCAAUUAAAUAUACACACCCCUCUGAAUUUCUUGAAUUGUUUCUGCAAGCAUUUCAAAAGGAUAUCUAAUUGGGCUAGGGGCACUUCUUCGUUUAGAAGCAAUGUCUCAGACGGGGUGUUCACCCUAGACACUUAGUUUUUUGAAUAUGGCAUGGAGGCCAUCUACUUUGAUGCAGGUGUAAGGAACUCAAGACCACACCAAUUGUAAAUAAGAGCAUUGGAUGUAUGGCUACUCUCUCUAUGUCUCUAAUAUAACAGAUUUUGGUGAAGCUUUUCCAGUUUGAAACAGCUCCUGGAAAUCAGUUAUGUUUUUUGUUUCAUUGCCAUGCGUAUUGUAGUUUAAAUGUUGCUUUCGUCUGAACUUUCCAAUUUGUGUUCCCUGCAUAUACUACCAUGCUCGGGCAUCUACAUUCUAAAUUUAAUGCAUUGAAAAAUUUUAAAGUGAGACUGGAGCAGUCAUUAAACAAAGUAGAAAGAUUUGAGUUUGACUGUGGAUAUGCAGGUAGUGUUUGUAUAAUUGAAAUCAGGAGAUUUUGUUGCUUAUAAAUGAAUAAAUAAAUGGCUGAGAUUUUAUUGCUGGUGAUCAUCACAUAUUUGGGAAACACAUUGUUUUUGUUGUUUUUUAACAUACAUUUGAACCACCUUGAUGAUUCUCCCCUUCCUUACAUUAUACACAUGACAUGCACUGUUGAUUCCUUAUAUUAUUUGGAAGAGUCAGGUCUAGCUGUAUGACUACUAUGGUUUGAUUCCUGCUGGAUACACUUCAAACUUUUAGUUCAGUUACUACUCAUGGAACUUGAACAUACAGCUCCCUUGUUAUGGGCAUUGAAUUUUCCUUGAAUGAUUAGCCUUUAGUUUAGGUUUUGUUAGAGAGCUCUUCAUAACCUGAACUUUGUUUAAGUUUCUAAUAUGGUUAUCUCAAGAACUAUUUUUUUUCUUUCUCUAUUUAUCUGCAAACUUAUCAUUACUUGCUACAUAUUCAACUGGUAUCUAUUCUUAUUCCCUUCUACUGCUUCUUACUUUGUCUUAGCUAAUUAGGUGACCCUUUGUGAGGACGUGAAAGCAGUAACUUAAAAGGAUGUGGAGUGAAAACCAACAACUGCUGUGAAUAAGGAACCAGCCAUAGAUGCGGAGUUGGAACCAGCUAAGGUGGUGAAAUGGGAACCAGCAAAAGAUAUGGAGUUGAAACCUGCUAAGAAUGUGGAGUUGAAACCAUUAGAGGAUAGUUAUACAACGUGAGUGCAAUUAUACUACCCGCAGCAAAGCGCGGGAUCUCUAACUAGUAGAACCUAGUACAACGUGACAGCCAUCUGCAUUUUAUAGAGUUUUGCAGUCUGUUGGAAAAUAUCAAUUAUAAAAAUCAUGACAUGGCAAUCAGGCAACGUAGUCUGUUUUGCAGUUUCUGUUCUGGUUGUCUGCCUUUUAUGUCAUUAUAAGAAAUUUUUUGUUAUGAA